GCUAAUACAUGCAAGUCGAGCGAAUGGAUUAAGAGCUUGCUCUUAUGAAGUUAGCGGCGGACGGGUGAGUAACACGUGGGUAACCUGCCCAUAAGACUGGGAUAACUCCGGGAAACCGGGGCUAAUACCGGAUAACAUUUUGAACCGCAUGGUUCGAAAUUGAAAGGCGGCUUCGGCUGUCACUUAUGGAUGGACCCGCGUCGCAUUAGCUAGUUGGUGAGGUAACGGCUCACCAAGGCAACGAUGCGUAGCCGACCUGAGAGGGUGAUCGGCCACACUGGGACUGAGACACGGCCCAGACUCCUACGGGAGGCAGCAGUAGGGAAUCUUCCGCAAUGGACGAAAGUCUGACGGAGCAACGCCGCGUGAGUGAUGAAGGCUUUCGGGUCGUAAAACUCUGUUGUUAGGGAAGAACAAGUGCUAGUUGAAUAAGCUGGCACCUUGACGGUACCUAACCAGAAAGCCACGGCUAACUACGUGCCAGCAGCCGCGGUAAUACGUAGGUGGCAAGCGUUAUCCGGAAUUAUUGGGCGUAAAGCGCGCGCAGGUGGUUUCUUAAGUCUGAUGUGAAAGCCCACGGCUCAACCGUGGAGGGUCAUUGGAAACUGGGAGACUUGAGUGCAGAAGAGGAAAGUGGAAUUCCAUGUGUAGCGGUGAAAUGCGUAGAGAUAUGGAGGAACACCAGUGGCGAAGGCGACUUUCUGGUCUGUAACUGACACUGAGGCGCGAAAGCG
rnacentral:rRNA from 1 species